CCUACGGGCGGCUGCAGUGGGGAAUAUUGGACAAUGGGCGAAAGCCUGAUCCAGCCAUGCCGCGUGUGUGAAGAAGGCCUUCGGGUUGUAAAGCACUUUCAGUGGGGAAGAAAGCCUUGGGGCUAAUACCCUCGAGGAAGGACAUCACCCACAGAAGAAGCACCGGCUAACUCCGUGCCAGCAGCCGCGGUAAUACGGAGGGUGCGAGCGUUAAUCGGAAUUACUGGGCGUAAAGCGCGCGUAGGCGGUCUGAUAAGCCGGUUGUGAAAGCCCCGGGCUCAACCUGGGAACGGCAUCCGGAACUGUCAGGCUAGAGUGCAGGGGAGGAAGGUAGAAUUCCCGGUGUAGCGGUGAAAUGCGUAGAGAUCGGGAGGAAUACCAGUGGCGAAGGCGGCCUUCUGGACUGACACUGACGCUGAGGUGCGAAAGCGUGGGUAGCAAACAGGAUUAGAUACCCUAUAGUC
rnacentral:rRNA from 1 species